AUGCGUUGGCGACGGGGCAGCUUAUCAAUCCGUCGAAGUGUUCCAUCCUUUUUUUCCAAUCAUUGUCAGGCCAAUGUUAUACAGGAAGUGAAGACUGUGUUGGAGAUCACGCAAGAGGUUUUUGAACCUAAGUAUAUGGGCUUGCCAGUCCCUGAAGGAAGAAUGCACAAAGGUAGAUUUGAAACUACUCAAGAUCGGUUGCGGAAGAGGCUUGUGGAUUGGAGUGAACAAUAUAUGUCCUCGGGCAACAAAGAGGUUCUCAUCAAAGCCGUGGCCCAGGCCAUUCCUACUUAUGUGAUGAGCGUGUUCAAGCUUCCAGCAUCGGUUUGUGACGAUCUCACGCGUUUAAUCUGCCAAUAUUGGUGGGGAGUUGAGAAGGGAAAAAGGAAGAUGGCAUGGAUGAGUUGGGAUAAACUGAGGCUCCCUAAGUCCAUGGGGGGAAUGGGUUUCCGAGACAUGAGAGUAUUUAACCAAGCUUUGUUAGCCAAACAAGCUUGGAGGCUUCUGGAUUCUCCCGAAAGUUUGUGCUCAAGAUUGUUGAAAGCUAAGUACUUCCCACAUGGCCAGUUACUGGACACCGUUUUUUCAAAUAAUGGUUCGGAGGUGUGGAAGAGAAUCUUACACGGGCUUGAGCUGGUUAAGAAAGGAACAAUUUGGCGCGUGGGAGAUGGUUCGUCGAUCCGUACGUGGAGGGAUCCUUGGAUCCCGAGACCUGAUUCGUUCAGACCAAUCACUCCCAAAGGUAACUGCAGACUAAACCGUGUGUCGGAUUUCCUGGACAUCAACGCGGCUUGGUGA
rnacentral:rRNA from 1 species